rnacentral:tRNA from 2 species
GGGCCCUUAGCUCAGUGGUUAGAGCGCUCGGCUCAUAACCGAGUGGUCGCUGGUUCGAAUCCUGCAGGGCCCA